AAUGUAAAGAAAAAUGUAAACCAUAUAUAAACAUAUCUGCAACGUAGAGAAUGUAAAACAUGUCAAAUAUAAAAAAUGUACACAUGUGAGGUAUAUGCAGA